rnacentral:rRNA from 1 species
GACGAACGCUGGCGGCGUGCUUAACUCAUGCAAGUCGAACGGUAAGGCCCUUCGGGUACACGAGUGGCGAACGGGUGAGUAACACGUGGGUGAUCUGCCCUGCACUUCGGGAUAAGCCUGGGAAACUGGGUCUAAUACCGGAUAGGACCCUGGGAUGCAUGUCCUGGGGUGGAAAGCUUUUGCGGUGUGGGAUGGGCCCGCGGCCUAUCAGCUUGUUGGUGGGGUGAUGGCCUACCAAGGCGACGACGGGUAGCCGGCCUGAGAGGGUGACCGGCCACACUGGGACUGGGAUACGGCCCAGACUCCUACGGGAGGCAGCAGUGGGGAAUAUUGCACAAUGGGCGCAAGCCUGAUUCAGCGACGCCGCGUGAGGGAUGACGGCCUUCGGGUUGUAAACCUCUUUCAGCACCGACGAAGCGCAAGUGACGGUAGGUGCAGAAGAAGGACCGGCCAACUACGUGCCAGCCGCCGCCGUAA